rnacentral:lncRNA from 1 species
GGGUGGUCAGCAGCCACUAUCUUCACCAUCUGGGCCCUGCCUGUUCUCUAGCUGCUUUUCUUGUACUCUUUGCAGUCAGGGGCCAGGAUCCAGACUGAUACUCCUCCCAUUCUGUUCCACUUCAUCAUUCAGACUCCGUGUUGGAUGUGAAGCCCCAAAUGCCAUCUGUGGACCCAGAGUUGCGCAGCACACCUCGAACAGCACAGGAGCUGACGAUCAGGGCUCCUCCACCGAGUGCAUGGAUGGCGUGAGCAGAGCUGGAACCUUGAGAAGAGGUCAAUGGCUCUCAUCAAGGCUGCACAUGUCUAUGAAUCCUCUCUUCCAGAGUCCUAAUCCCCACAGACUACUCAAGCCUGGGCUCCCCCUCGCCCUGCACCCGGGGUACCCAGUCUCUUCUAGAGUGGUCGGAGAACUGUCUUGACAGCAUCCUUGUCUCAUGCCUUUUCUCCUAAACUCCUUCCAUGUCCAGUUAUUUCUCAUCCUGGUGGCCCCUUCGGAAAGUACUCACCUCCAUUCCUGUUCCUACUUACCUUAGUAUCAAGCAGCCCCUCCUUGUCUGACCCUCACCCUCUGGCUUUUCUACAGGAGGCAGGUGUAUAUCCUGUUUAGACCCAGGAGAUCCUGUGCCUGUCAUGCCCUCCACUGUGCUGUCGUCUGGGAUGGCCUAUGUGUGUGUCUUGUACCUGACUCCUAACUAUGAGUCCUUAGUGCCUUAUCUCAGUCAUUAUCAGAAUGCCUUAUUAAGCAGACAUUUCAUUAACUAUUUUAUAGAAGAGGCCUUAGAAACUUGGAUAACUUUCUACAGUUUCACAAUUGAUAUAUUGAGAACUCAUACAUGAGCCAGGAUCAGAAUCUAAGACUUUUUAAAAUUUCAAAUCCAUUUUUAACCAUUGUUUCCUAAUAGAAACAAUAAAGAAAACAAUAUAAAACUAAAAUAUUUUGUCAAUUGAGUGGUUAUGUUUUGUUAAGUCAAUUAAUAUUUUGUCUUUUCAUUGACAUAAAUCUGAUUAUUAAUAAUAGCCAAUAGGUCCCGUAUUUAGUUCUAAAAUAUCAAAAUCUCAUUUUCAGUUGUGCCCAAAAACAAUGUAAAUAGCUACUAAUAGGAAAACAUAGCUAAAUAAAUUAUGCAUUGAUGCAGCCAUGUAUAAUUAUAUUUAUGGGAACAAAGCAGGAUAUAAAAAUUGAUUUACAGUCUUAUAUUCUAAACAUAUGUACUCAAACACAAGUACAUACAAAACCAAAAUUAAGUCCCCAAAGAAUUAGCAAAUUUUAGGGGUGCUG